GAUGAACGCUAGCGGCAGGCUUAACACAUGCAAGUCGAGGGGUAUAGGUUUUCGGACCUAGAGACCGGCGCACGGGUGCGUAACGCGUAUGCAAUCUACCUUUUGCAGAGGGAUAGCCCAGAGAAAUUUGGAUUAAUACCUCAUAGUAUAACUCAAUCGCAUGAUUGAGUUAUUAAAGUCACAACGGCAAAAGAUGAGCAUGCGUCCCAUUAGCUAGAUGGUAAGGUAACGGCUUACCAUGGCUACGAUGGGUAGGGGUCCUGAGAGGGAGAUCCCCCACACUGGUAAUGAGACACGGACCAGACUCCUACGGGAGGCAGCAGUGAGGAAUAUUGGUCAAUGGACGCAAGUCUGAACCAGCCAUGCCGCGUGCAGGAUGACGGUCCUAUGGAUUGUAAACUGCUUUUGUACAGGAAGAAACACUCCUUCGUGAAGGAACUUGACGGUACUGUAAGAAUAAGGAUCGGCUAACUCCGUGCCAGCCGCCGCAGUAA
rnacentral:rRNA from 1 species